rnacentral:rRNA from 1 species
UACGGAGGGUGCAAGCGUUGUUCGGAAUUAUUGGGCGUAAAGCGCGUGUAGGCGGUGUGGUAAGUCUGUUGUGAAAGCCCUGGGCUCAACCCAGGAAGUGCACUGGAUACUGGCAGACUUGAAUACGGGAGAGGGCAGUGGAACUGCGAGUGUAGAGGUGAAAUUCGUAGAUAUUCGCAAGAACACCAGUGGCGAAGGCGGCUCACUGGCCCGAUACUGACGCUGAGGUGCGAAAGCGUGGGGAGCAAACAGG